ensembl:lncRNA
AUGCUGGAGAAAAACGUAAGUACCUUGCGCCUUUGUUGCAGAAACAGAAUAAGUAAUAUAACGUUUAAAAAAUUAUAUAACACACUGAUAAAGGUUUAUCAAGUAAACCCAAUCCAAGUAAACUUCUUUUACAAACACGAUGCUGCUGUCGGUAGUGCUACUCACUCCGUUAUUCGAACUCGCGCCGUUAGCGCUUCUUUUUCUUCAAGUAGUAACACAGGGUAUCGCAAAAUAACAGUAAUACCUUUUGAAAAGGAAAAGAUAAAAUUGUUUUAUGAAGAUAUUCCUUUUGAUUUUGAAGAGUUAAGUAAAAAAGAAAAAAAAGAUUUACUAUGCAUUUAUAAAACUAUAAGAAAUAAAAAUGUAUUAUGUAAAUUACCUAGUGAUUUCUUGGACAAUUUAUAUGAAUGUACAAAAAAAAUAGUAAGAUGUUUAUUACCUUAUGAAUUUGUUCGUAUUUAUAAAACAUUAAAUAUAUUAAAUAAAAAAAAAGAUAAACAACUGAAUUUAUUAUUACAUCAACAAAUGAAAAGAAUAUAUAAAAAUUUUGAUAUUAUAAGUAUUAGUAAAUUAUUUCAAAUAUAUAUAUUUCAAAAAUCAAAACCUGUUUCAUUAAUAAAGAAAUUAACAGAUACAUUUUUAAUAAAAUUAAAUAAUGAUACUACACCUUGGUGUAUAAGAGAAGUAUUAUCUAUUUAUUCUUUUUUUAAUAUAAAUUCUGAUCAUGUUCAUAUACUUUAUAAAAAAUGUACUCCUCUUAUUGCUAAGUAUAUUAUGUCCUAUACUCCUAAAGAUUGUACUAUUAUUCUAUAUAACUGUGUAAAAAUAAAUAAACAAAAUCAAAUUAUACUAAACGCAAUAGCAAAAAAUGUUAUUUUAAAAAUUAACCUUUACGAAUUUUAUCAACUAGCUAUAAUAUUAAAUAGUUUUGCAAAAAUAGCUCACAAAAAUAAUAAAUUAUGUAAGGCAAUAUGUGAUUAUAUUAAAAAAUGGCCAAGUUCUUUAAAUUUUUCAGAUAAUAUCAGUGCAAGCGGUGAAAAUGGUGCAAGCGGUGAAAAUGGUGAAAAUGGUGAAGACAGUAGUACAUGUGUAUUGUUGGAGAAAGAAGAAAAAGAUAGGUUGUUGCCGAAUUAUUUAGAUAAGUUAGACUUGCAAAAUGAGAAAACAAAAAUGGAUGAACAAGAUGAAGUAGUCGAUAUAAACAAAGAAGAAGAUCAUACAAAUGUUACAUAUACCAAGAAAGUUGAACAAAGUACUUGUGUUGAAGAAAAAAAAAAAACAGUAAAACCAAAAGAUGUAUCUAUAAUUUUAAAUUCUUUAGUAAAAUUAAAUUAUUACGAUAAUAAUAUUUUUAAUCAUUUUAUUCCUUAUAUUAUUAACAACGUGUCAAAAUUUUCACCACAAUCUUUAAGUAAUAUAGUACAUGCUUAUUCACAACUACAAAUAAAUCACAGUUUGAUGAUGGAUAAGAUAGUUUACGAAUCUAUGAUAAAAAUUCAAAAAUUUAAAAAUAAAGAAAUAAGUAAUUUGGCUAAUUCGUUAGUAAGAUUAAAUAGAAUGGAUAAAAGUUUAUUUACUUAUAUAAUUGAUGAAUUUUUAUAUAGGGCAACUAUAGGAUUACAAUUUAAAACUUAUUCAUUUGACAUAUUAUCACUACAACAGUUAGCAUAUUCUUUCAGUAAAAUUGGGUUAAAAGAUGAAAAGGUUUAUAUGAUCUUGUACAAAUUGUUUGUUAAAAAUAUUCAUAAAAUAAAUCAAUGUAAUAAAAACAGCUUGAUAAAUAAUAUUAAUUUUAAAGAAAAGGAUAGUAUAAUAAAAGAAGGAAAGGAACAAAAUUUAUCAAUCUAUAUGGGAAAAAAAACAACGGGAGUAACAUUAUCAACAGUAGACAUUACUACAAAUAAUAAUAAUAAUAAUAGUAAUAAUAAUAAUUAUUUAUCACAAAAAAAUGUACCAUUUUUGAAUACGAAACCACAAGAAAUAACUUCUUUCGAUACUAACAAAUUUGAUUUUUUUAGCUUAUCUAUUUUUAUUAAUUCUUAUUCUAAAGCUAAUAUAAAAAAUAAAAAUAUUUCUCAUUUUAUUAGUUAUAUUAUAAGAAAAAAAAAACAAAAAAAUGAAUUGUUAAGUAUUCAUUCAUUGAGUUAUUUAAUUUAUGGUAUUUCAAAAUUGAAUUUAAAAGAUAAAAAAAUAUAUAAAAUAUUAUUAAAAGAAUGUAAUGAAAAAAUUGAUUAUAUACAACCAUUUCAAAUUAUUUUAAUUUUAUAUUCUUUUAGUAAAUUAAAAAUAUAUUCAUAUAAAUUUGUUAAAAAAGGAUUACAAAUGUUAAGUAUGUAUAUUAAUAAAUUAACUUUAUCAGAUUUAAGUUUAGUAUGUUAUUCAUUGUCAAAUUUUUUAUACAGAGAUUUAAUAUUUUUAUAUAAAGUGCAGAAAAUAAUAGUAUCUGACAAAUACGAAUUUAAUAAAUGUAUUGUUGCACAACUUUUUAAUUCUUUCACUAAAUUAUGUUUUUUCCACCAACCAUUUUAUAAUUUUAUAUGGCAAAAAAUUAUUUUAUUUAUGCAUGAAUUUAAUGAAAGUGAAUUAACUAAUAUUGUCUUUUCUUUUACAUAUUAUUUUCAUAUGAAUAUGUUACAUUAUAGUUCUAAAUUGAAAAGUAAAACUGAUGGGAUGAGCAAUUUUUCUAAUCGUUUGGUCGAUUGUAGUUUGUUUAGUUCGGUGAAUGACGUUGUGGGUUGUACUGAUGAUGUAGUUGAUAUUUUUCAAAAUAACAAUACCUUUAUUGAUAAAGUAGNNNNNNNNNNUGGAUAA